GCAGAAAAUGUACUACAACAAUCGAAAGUUGGUACUGAUCUAGUGUGAUGAAUUUAGAAGUUGGUAGUUGGUAGCAUUGCUUCUCAUGAAAUUGAAAAUCAAAUCAGGGGAUCUGUGAAUAGAGAGUGAAGUUUUUAUUAAGUUUAGUUUCGAUGGAGACGGGAAAUUGUUUUUUUGUGUAACAUUCCAGCAAACAUUUAUUUGUACGUUAUCAUCAUUCUUUAUGGAGGCUGACUUUCUGGCGUUAUAAACGCAAUGGCGUUCUCGUGGAGUUCCCGUUCGAGUCUAGGUGACGUUGGGACUUACAUAAGUGUAUAAAGGACUUUUGUUGAAGCUUUCAUUUAGCGAGGUUAUGGAAGAAAUGCCGGUUAAACUUCAUUUGCUGGAGUUUGGAGGCUAUGGGUUGCAUCUGGAGUACUAAGGCCCUUGGAGCCCUUGGAUUUGAUGUUCCUGUUGCAGUCGCAUGUAUCGAAGGGAGCUGCAGUCGCAGAUCUCAAAGGGGGUUGCAGUUUUGGCAAUGCCAAGUCAGCCGUCUGGUCCAGCUUCCUUAUGCAUUUGCUGACCCAUGCUCAAGCAAGUAAUUUCAAGGACUAUUCCGGAGGUGUGUAAUGCGCUGAUAGAUGUCUUCAGGAAUGUGUAAAGGUUAGUGUUAAUCAUACAUCUAAUUUAAAAUAAAGAAUCUGAUAGAGUCUAGCUAGACUCUAUAUUGUAAUUAAUUCAAGUUU